rnacentral:rRNA from 1 species
AAACUUUCAACAACGGAUCUCUUGGUUCCGGCAUCGAUGAAGAACGCAGCCGAAAUGCGAUAAUUAAUGUGAAUUGCAGAAUUCAGUGAAUCAUCGAGUCUUUGAACGCACAUUGCGCCCCCUGGUAUUCCGGGGGGCAUGCCUGUCCGAGCGUCAU